rnacentral:rRNA from 1 species
UACGUAGGGCGCAAGCGUUAUCCGGAAUUAUUGGGCGUAAAGGGCUCGUAGGCGGUUUGUUGCGUCGGGAGUGAAAACCCAGGGCUUAACUCUGGGCUUGCUUCCGAUACGGGCAGACUUGAGGUAUUCAGGGGAGAACGGAAUUCCUGGUGUAGCGGUGAAAUGCGCAGAUAUCAGGAGGAACACCGGUGGCGAAGGCGGUUCUCUGGGAAUUACCUGACGCUGAGGAGCGAAAGCAUGGGGAGCGAACAGG